GCUAGCAAGCGCGUCGGUGGUUCAGCCGGCUGGUCUCGUCGAGUUGUCGGUGUGCGGAUCCGAACGGACCGCGGCCGAUGGCGUCGGCGGGCAAGCUGUGGUGCACUCUGUCGGCGUGCGCGUCAGCGUCGGUUUCGGCCGGACGACGAGGCGCUCGGGGAAGGUAGCUGGACCGGUCUUCGGUGCAGUGUUAUAGCCCUGGGCCGCUGGGUUCGGCGUUUGGGACCGAGGAGAGAGAUGAUCGCUGCAGCGCCUGUCUCCCUCUCGAGGGGGGCUAGCCAGCCGCUGUUUGGGUGGCGUCACUGGCGGAGGACUGCACGCAGUGCUUCGCCGGUGGUCGUGUCCAGGCGGGCGGUGUGGGUAUAGAGGCGCUUAGGACGCUGGCGUCCAAAUGGCCGUGCGCGACCCGUCUUGAAACACGGACCAAGGAGUCUAGCAUGUGCGCGAGUCUUAGGGUGUGGAAGCCCUCGGGCGCAAUGAAAGUGAAGGGCCGUCGUCUCUCGGGGCUGCGGUGUGAGGUGAGAGCCGUCGCCGUCGGGUGGCGGUGCAUCAUCGGCCGGUCCAUCCUGCUCUCAGGAGGAUCUGCGCAAGAGCGUGUUUGCUGGGACCCGAAAGAUGGUGAACUAUGCCUGAAUAGGGUGAAGCCAGAGGAAACUCUGGUGGAGGCUCGUAGCGGUUCUGACGUGCAAAUCGAUCGUCAAAUUUGGGUAUAGGGGCGAAAGACUAAUCGAACCAUCUAGUAGCUGGUUCCCUCCGAAGUUUCCCUCAGGAUAGCUGGAACUCGUCUUGACACAGUUUUAUCAGGUAAAGCGAAUGAUUAGAGGUCUUGGGGGUGAAACACCCUCAACCUAUUCUCAAACUUUAAAUAGGUAAGAAGCGCGACUUGCUCAAUUGAAGUGGCGCGCAGUGAAUGUGAGUUCCAAGUGGGCCAUUUUUGGUAAGCAGAACUGGCGAUGCGGGAUGAACCGAACGCUCGGUUAAGGUGCCCAAGUCGACGCUCAUCAGACCCCAGAAAAGGUGUUGGUCGAUAUAGACAGCAGGACGGUGGCCAUGGAAGUCGGAAUCCGCUAAGGAGUGUGUAACAACUCACCUGCCGAAUCAACUAGCCCUGAAAAUGGAUGGCGCUCAAGCGUCGCACCUAUACCGAGCCGUCGUGGUAAAUGCCAGGCCACGACGAGUAGGAGGGCGCGGUGGUCGUGACGCAGCCCUUGGCGCGAGCCUGGGCGAAACGGCCUCCGGUGCAGAUCUUGGUGGUAGUAGCAAAUAUUCAAAUGAGAGCUUUGAAGACCGAAGUGGAGAAAGGUUCCAUGUGAACAGCAGUUGGACAUGGGUUAGUCGAUCCUAAGAGAUAGGGAAGUUCCGUGUGAAAGUGCGCAAUGCGCUUCUGUGCUGCGCGCCUCCUAUCGAAAGGGAAUCGGGUUAAUAUUCCCGAACCGGAAGGCGGAUAUCUCUGGCUCUCGGGUCAGGAGCGGCAACGCAAGCGUACUGCGAGACGUCGGCGGGGGCUCCGGGAAGAGUUGUCUUUUCUUUUUAACGCAGUCGCCAUCCCUGGAAUCGGUUUGCCCGGAGAUAGGGUUGGCUGGCUCGGUAAAGCAGCACACUUCAUGUGCUGUCCGGUGCGCUCUCGACGGCCCUUGAAAAUCGCAGGUGUGCAUCGAUUCUCGCAUCCGGUCGUACUCAUAACCGCAUCAGGUCUCCAAGGU
rnacentral:rRNA from 1 species